rnacentral:rRNA from 1 species
CCUACGGGAGGCAGCAGUGAGGAAUAUUGGGCAAUGGACGGAAGUCUGAACCAGCCAUGCCGCGUGCAGGAAGACGGCUCUAUGAGUUGUAAACUGCUUUUGUACCGGGGUAAACCUGAAUACGUGUAUUCAGCUGAAAGGACUGUACGAAUAAGGAUCGGCUAACUCCGUGCCAGCCGCCGCGGUAAUACGGAGGGUCCAAGCGUUAUCCGGAUUAAUUGGUUUUAACGGGUGCGUAGGCGGUUUGAUAAGUUAGGGGUGAAAGGCCCGGGCUUAACUCGGGAAUUGCCUCUAAUACUGUGGAGCUAGAGAGCAGAUGCGGGAGGCAGAAUGUAUGGUGUAGCGGUGAAAUGCGUAGAGAUGAUAAAGAAUACCGAUGGCGAAGGCAGCUUACCAAU